rnacentral:tRNA from 1 species
CAGGGAAUAGUUUAAGAAAAAUUAAUGCUUUGGGAGCUUUAGAUAAGGGUUCUUUUCUCUGA